rnacentral:rRNA from 1 species
AGUGAACGCUGGCGGUAGGCCUAACACAUGCAAGUCGAACGGCAGCACAGGAGAGCUUGCUCUCUGGGUGGCGAGUGGCGGACGGGUGAGGAAUACAUCGGAAUCUACUCUGUCGUGGGGGAUAACGUAGGGAAACUUACGCUAAUACCGCAUACGACCUACGGGUGAAAGCAGGGGACCUUCGGGCCUUGCGCGAUUGAAUGAGCCGAUGUCGGAUUAGCUAGUUGGCGGGGUAAAGGCCCACCAAGGCGACGAUCCGUAGCUGGUCUGAGAGGAUGAUCAGCGACACUGUAACUGAGACACGGGCCAAAAUCCUACGAGAGGCAGCAGUGGGGAAGAUUGGACAGUGGGCGCAAGCCUGAUCCAGCCAUACCGCGUGGGUGAAGAAGGCCUUCCGGUUGUAAAGCCCUUUUGUUGGGAAAGAAAUCCAGCUGGCUAAUACCCGGUUGGGAUGACGGUACCCAAAGAAUAAGCACCGGCUAACUUCGUGUCAGCCGCCGCAGUAA